GGAAUUUUGUGGCAUUGGGAGGGAAACGUUGCUUUUACACCUUGGAGAGUUAAAAAUUAAUGGGGUUUUAAUUAGCUUUUUUUUUUUUUCUUUUUGUUCACCUGCGAGCCAGGUUGGGUUACAAUUGAGUCCUCGCCAUGCCCAUUAAUUAAUGAUUAAAUCUCAUUAAGUUACUUUUGUGUAGAGCUCCUGCAACACCUGCUGGCUGGUGAUCAUCAUACCCACCAAUGUUUUCUCCUGGUUCCUAAGAUGGCUGACACUUUGUUUCAGGCUGUUGG